rnacentral:lncRNA from 1 species
CAGAACCAGACAAGUCACAGAAGAGGCCAGAGGAAAGGCAACUCUCUCAGCAUCUACUUCCAGAAAGAGUAGAAUUGCAGGGAGUAACUGCUCAGAAGCAGUUAAGCAAAAUUGGCAGUUUUCCCACACAGCUAAGACAUUGAAUUUGAAAAACACCCUCAUAUAGCUAGCCAUUUGAAAUAUGUUUGAUAUAUUUACCAAAUUGAAUGUGAUUUUUGUAUUCUCACCAAUGUUCCCUUUUGUAGAUUCUCUUUAAUUACCUUAAACAAAUUUAUGCAUUUUGAUUAAAUAAAAAGGAGGAGGGGAGCUCCCAUUGUGGCUCAGUGGUUAAUGAACUGCACUAGUAUUCAUGAGGACUUGGGUUUGAUCCCUGGUCUCACUCAGUGGGUUAAGGAUUCAUUUCUGCUUCACCACAAGGGAACUCCUCAUUAUUAGCCUUUGUAAAAAAUAAAAAUAUAUGUUCAUUGGAUAAAAAUAAAGCUUUUCUUGAUUUCAUAAACUUCCAGUUUUUUUCCAUCUUCUGAAGUUUUGGGUUAUGGUUUCAAUGAGCAUGUUAUUUUCCCAAGACUAUUUCUUUGAAUUCCAACGUCUUUGUUUAUAAAAUAGGUAUUUACCUGCUCCACAACAAGUUCAUUGCGUGAGGUUAUCCAUGUUUAAGAGAUUCACAAGACGCAGGAGGGGAAUAGCUUGGCUGUGUCUUAAAGAUUUAACAUGUAAUCGUGUUUAAAGCAAAAAAUUUAACACAGAGUUUCAUUUCAUAAUUUAAAAAAUAAUUUAUUGUCGAGACUGUUUCUUCCCUUACACAGUGGUUACAAGAGCAUUUUAUAAUUCUUAAACAGUUCAUUUUGGGGGCUGUUUUGUUUUGUUUUUCUUUUAUGGCCACACCAACCCAUAUGGAGGUUCCCAAACUAGGGAUCCAGUUGGAGCUGUAGCUGCUGGCCUCCACCACAGCCACAGCAACACCAGAUCUGAGCCAAGUUUGUGACCUACACCACAGCUUGUGACAAUGCCAGAUCCUUAACCCACUGCCUGAGGCCAGGGAUUGAACCCUCAACCUCAUGGUUCCUAGUCAGAUUCGUUUCCUCUGCACCACGAUGGGAACUCCCU